AUCUUCAAGCCUUUACCUGGACAAGACAAACCUAUCAGAACUGUGCUGACAAAAGGAAUCGCUGGCAUUGGAAAAACAGUCUCUGUGCAGAAGUUCCUCCUUGACUGGGCAGAGGGAAAAGCAAAUCAGGACGUUCAUUUCAUGUUUCCUCUUCCUUUCCGUGAUCUGAACCUGAAAAAGGACCAAUACAGUCUGAUGCAACUUCUUUCCCACUACUUCUCAGAGCUGAAAGAGAUUGACAGCAUUGAAGAUGGUGAAACCAAAACUGUUUUCAUUUUUGAUGGUCUGGAUGAGUGUCGACUUCCUCUAGACUUCAAAAACAAUGAGAAGUGCUGUGAUGUCACGAAGCCAACCUCAGUGGACGUGCUGCUGACAAACCUCAUCGAGGGGAAUCUGCUUCCAUCUGCUCUCCUCUGGAUAACCACACGACCUGCAGCAGCCAAUCAGAUCCCUCCUGAGUGUGUUGACCAGGUGACAGAGGUACGAGGGUUCAAUGAGCGACAGAAGGAGGAGUACUUCAGGAAGAAAAUCACAGAUCAGAAUCUGGCCAAUGAUAUCAUCAAACACAUGAAGACAUCAAGGAGCCUCCACAUCAUGUGCCACAUGCCAGUCUUCUGUUGGAUAUCAGCCACUGUCCUUGAGAUGAUACUGAAAGAGGCAGAGAAGGAUGAAGUCCCCAAAACUCUGACCCAGAUGUACUCACACUUCAUUCUCAUCCAAAUCACUUUGAAGAACAGGAAGUACAACAAAUCCACAGAAACAAACCCAAAGGAACUGUCUCAGUCAGACAAAGAGAUGAUCCUGAAACUGGCCAAGCUGGCUUUCCAACAGCUGCAGAAGGGCAACCUGAUCUUCUAUGAGGAGGACCUGAGAGAGUGUGGCCUUGAUGUCACAGAGGCAUCAGAGUACUCAGCAUUGUGUACAGAGAUCUUUAAAGAAAAAUCUGGGCUGUACCAAGAGAAGGUCUACAGCUUUGUGCAUCUGAGCAUUCAGGAGUUUCUAGCAGUAGUGCAUGCUUUAGAAUCAUGUCUGGACAAGAAGGAAAAUGUUUUCUCCUCCGCUAGUGGUGGUGAGGAGAAGGAGUCAAUCCAGUUGUCUGACUUACACAGGAGAGCAGUGGACCAGGCCUUGAAGAGUGAGAAUGAACACCUGGACCUGUUCCUCCGCUUCCUUCUGGGUCUAUCACUGGAGUCCAAUCAGAAUCUGUUACGAGGCCUUCUGACACAGACAGGAAGUACAACACAGAGCAAUAAGAAAACAGUUGAGAGAACAGUCAGGUACCUUUCAGACAAGAUCGAGGAGGAAUCCUCACCAGAAAGGAUCAUCAACUUGUUCCACUGUCUGAAUGAACUUGGUGCCAACUCUCUAGUUGAAGACAUGCAGACCUCCCUGCGAUCAGGAACUCUUUCAGAAACAAGACUAAAACCUGACCAAUGUUCAGCCCUGGCCUACCUGUUACUGAUGUCAGAGGAGGUGCUGGAGGAGUUUGACCUGAAGACAUACAACACAUCAGAGGAAGGUUAUCAGAGGUUGCUGCCAGUAGUGAAAACCUGCAAGAGAGCACUACUGAAUGGCUGUGAACUCACAUAUGUAUCCUGUGAGACUCUGUCUUCAGCUCUGCAGACACCAAACUCCCCCCUGAGAGAACUGGACCUCAGCUACAAUGACCUGGGAGACAGAGGAGUGGAGCUGCUCUGUGUUGGACUAACCAGUCCACUCUACAACAUACAGACACUAGUUCUAGGUCAGUGUGGUCUGACAGAGGGUUGCUGUUCAGAUCUGGCCUCAGUCCUGAGUUCACCCAACUCACAACUGAAACAACUGGAGCUGAGAGACAAUGACCUGCAGGACUCAGGAGUUACACUGCUGUCUGCUGGACUGGAGGAUCCAGACUGUAAACUACACACACUGAGUCUAGGUCAGUGUGGUCUGACAGAGGGUUGCUGUUCACAUCUGGCCUCAGUCCUGAGUUCACCCAACUCACAACUGAAACAACUGGAGCUGAGAGACAAUGACCUGCAGGACCCAGGAGUUACACUGCUGUCUGCUGGACUGGAGGAUCCAGACUGUAAACUACACACACUGGGGCUGUCUGGCUGUCUGGUCACAGAGGAGGGCUGUGCUGCUCUGUCUUCAGCUCUGAGGUCAAACCCCUCCCACUUGAAAGAGCUGGACCUGAUCUACAAUCACCCAGGAGACUCUGCAGGGGGACUGCUUUCAGCUGCUCUGGUGGAUCGCACAUAUAAACUGAUGAAGCUGAAUGUGAAUCAUGGUGGAGAGUGCAGGCUGAAAUCAGGGCUGAGGAAAUAUGCAUGUCAUCUCACCCUCGACCCAAAUACAGCAAACCCACACGUGGUACUGUCUGAGGGGAACAGGAAGGUGACACGGGUGGAAGAGAGGCAGCAUUAUGAAGACCAUCCAGACAAAUUUGAUUGUCUUCCCCAAGUUCUCUGCAGAGAAGGCUUAUCUGGAUCUCGUUAUUACUGGGAGGUGGAGAGGGAUGGUAGCAUGGCUGUCGUUGGUGUGGUGUACAAAGGAAUGAAGAGGAAGGGAAGGGGGGUUGACAGUGACAUUGGAGCCAAUAGGGAGUCCUGGUGUUUACUCUGCUCUCAUAGUGGUUAUUGCUUUUACCAUCCUGGAGUCUGUAGCAGAGUCGUCCCUGGUCCUGUUUCUAACAGAGUUGGAGUGUAUCUGGACUGGCCAGCUGGUACAUUGUCCUUCUAUAGUGUGUCCUCCUCUGGUACACUGACACACCUUUACAAGAACACACCACAUUCACUGAACCCCUCAUCCUGGGUUUGGGGUUUCCUCCUCCUCUUCCUCAGUGACCCUGUGUCAGAUAGAUGACCAACACAUUCAGAGAAAUGGACCUACAGACCAUGGUGGAGAGUGUUGGAUCAAGCCUGGACCUGAGAAACGGAUUCCUCAGAGCUGUAAGACUUGUGACCAUGUUGAGGACUCCACACACUGGCUUCAGAUUGAGCCCUUGACUUCCACUGUCCAGGGAGUGACAAUGUUCAGGCUGUUCAGGAACGGGAGAAAGAUCAGGUGUCCCAAGGAUAUUCAGAAUUUCUCCUGUCAAGUCCAAACAGGCCCUUAAAGCUGAACAGUUGGUUUGUGCUCAAGAAUCCCCACU